CUGAUCCAGCCAUGCCGCGUGUGUGAAGAAGGCCUUCGGGUUGUAAAGCACUUUCAGUUGGGAGGAAGGGCWUUAAAUUAAUACCUUGCUGUUUUGACGUUACCGACAGAAUAAGCACCGGCUAACUCCGUGCCAGCAGCCGCGGUAAUACGGAGGGUGCAAGCGUUAAUCGGAAUUACUGGGCGUAAAGCGCGCGCAGGCGGUUCGUUAAGUCGGAUGUGAAAUCCCCGGGCUCAACCUGGGAACUGCAUUCGAAACUGCCGAGCUAGAGUAUGGUAGAGGGGGGUGGAAUUUCCGGUGUAGCGGUGAAAUGCGUAGAUAUMCGGAGGAACACCGGUGGCGAAGG
rnacentral:rRNA from 1 species